rnacentral:rRNA from 1 species
GAUGAACGCUGGCGGCGUGCCUAAUACAUGCAAGUCGAGCGAACAGACGCGGCUCUUGCUCCUCUGUCGUUAGCGGCGGACGGGUGUAUAACGCGUGUAUCCCCUCCCUAUCUGUCUGGGAUAUCUUCGGGAAACCGGCUCUAAUACCAGAUAAUAUAUUGAACCGCGUGGUUCAAUGGUGAAAGACGGUUUUGCUGUCACUUCUCGAUGCAUCCGCGCCGUAUUAGCUAGUUGUUAAGGUAACGGGCUACAAAGGCAACGAUGCGUAGCCGACCUGAGAGGGGGGUAGGCCACACGGGAGCGGAGACACCGACAAGACGACUGAGGGAGGCAGCAGUAGGGAAUGUGACGCAAUGGGCGAAAGCAUGACGGAGUAAGGGCGCGUGAGUGACGAAGGUCUUCGGAUCGGAAAAACCUGUUAUGAGGGAAGAACAAAUGUGGAAGGAACUAUGCAGGGCGUGACGGUACCGGAUCAGAAAGCCACGGCUAACUACGUG